GUUGAAGGGCAAGGUGACAGGAGAGAUGGCAAAGCAGCAGAAAGAGCCUUGCAAGAAGGAAGCCUGCGACAUUCAAUCUUGCCUAUCCAAGAACAAUUUUCUUCCCCAAAGGUGCAUCAGAGUUAUUCAAUUGCUACAAUCGUGCUGCGAACAAUGCGAGUAUAAAUCAACUCAUUGUGGCUCUGUUUCUGGUCUCCUGAAGCAAAUAAACAAGUAAUGUGUGUACUACGAACAAAAGGGGCAGUGAGGAAUUGAGCUCUAUUUUUGUGGCUUUCUUGAGGAUCUUAUAUAUCAAUUGAAUUCUGGCUGCAAACUGCAGGAAUAAAUGAUGAGACAACGACUGAUUCUUAACGUCUCUUGCUGAAACAACUAAAAAGGUAGAAGGUAAAUCGGAGCACUUAGCAUGAACAACAGAAGCUGGGGAGAGGAGUCUCUAUGCCAUAUUCAAGAAAUAUUUAUAGAACUUGUAUACUGAACCCUAUAUUUUCUUUCUUGUUGGAAUGUAGGCCUAAUGCUUUUCAAACAGUAGUUAUCAACUUGUACUUUCAGAACCAUCUUUCUUUCCUUGAUGUCAAUUAUUGAAUGAAUAUAUCUCUAUGGAAAAACAGAGCAUUUUGCAA